rnacentral:sRNA from 1 species
CCCACAUAUCGUCCCGGGCUGCAAAUGACACUCCGUGAAUACCGUAAAAUGGAUCCGAUUCUUUGUAAGCUUGGUGGACCGCACAGCACAGGUUUAUAUACGUCAGACAGCUCAUUGCUUCGCUUUCAUCAACCCCUUCCCGGUGAAUUUCGGCCGGUUGCACCAGUGCAUUCAAUACGGCAGCCGCGUAAAUAGAGCCCCCUGCUCUCCCGCACGAGGCGCUCGAUGCCCAUGCUCUACUCUCCUGCUCAUCACCAGCAGCUGUCAUACCUGACACGUUAAGUCUCUUUACCACAGAGAGGCGUGAAUCCGUGUAUGGCUUUACAAGCCACCCUCCUGAAAACAUGACGUCAUCACCAGGGUUAAAUCAACACCUGGGUGAAUGGCUUCGUGUAACUUUUUCUUGCGUUGCUAAAAAACGCUCCAGGAGAUCCUUCGCGGGAAUUACGCGGAUCGUUUGGUUUGACUCAAUUUGCUCCAGUUUUUUUUUGCAUCCAGGACAACUCUACGGUCGCUAGACCUGCUGCCAUGUACAUAUUCACCAUACUUCGUCACAAGAGCUCGUGGUUCAACGAAGGUGAACCACAGUUGAUUUGACGCGUGGAAUGUAUCUAUUGAUGUUAGCAACUAGUCUGGAGUAACGCACCAAUCACACUAACUACUCUUAAGAGACCAGCGCUUACGUGAAUUUUGAAGAAGAUGGUGGAAGAGAAAAAAGUCCGAUAGAAACCACCCAUCUACUUCGGGGGAGGCAUUAUUCUGAAAGUCAUUGAUACCACAGAGAGCAAUAAUGUGAGUGUUUGGUAACUAGUUUGGUUCGCGUCAAGGGUGUCGCCCGCGUCUUUGUCGAGAUCCGCCCUUCGGAUUCACUUGGACAACCGCCAGGUCAUCGCCGAGCUGUGUCGCCAAUUCGUUUAACAAGCUCGGUCGACGAUAUCCUUGGUACUUAGGGUCUUCUGACAUAGCCCGCACAUUACCAACAACAUACAACCCGCAAUUUGCCCUGAAGAGCGCAACGUUUAUGCGUUGGGCCGCAUUCAAAAAUCCAAUUCGCUCUUUACAUGUUAGGUCCACAAUACAGACUUCGCGCUCUCCGCCUUGGAAGCCAUCGAUGGUUGUGAUAACGAUAUCAAGAAGCCUCUGACCAAUUUGUGGAUGCGCGCGUGCCAUUGAAAAAACAUCACAACGAUACAUAUUCCUUUGAUACGAAUACGGUGUAAUUAUUGCGAUCUGUGAACCGAGGACGACGUUUUCCCGUAGGAGACUUGCUGCCAAUUCCAACACAAUCUUCUGGUGGUCAAGAUUGGCUUUAGACUUGGUGGAAUUCAAUUCCACUCUACUGCCGACAACAUCGAGGUAGAUGACAGUGCGCUCCUUUCCAUAUUUGCGGUUAAAACGCGAAACACUUCUGGAAGUUAGAUAGUUCGAUUCGCUAUCUACCGUGAUCAGGCGUCCGUGGUAAGAUAGGUCGGACACGAGUUUGCAAAUUGUCUCAUUCAUGCGGUGCUGCCUCUUAAGCAUAACGUGAAGGAAUCCGGCACGCUCUAGACGGGCGAAGAGUAGGUUUGGAGCGGGAGAUAGAAAUUGUUUUCCCGGACAGUAGUCGAUUUGCAAAACCGCGGCAGUUGUCGGGGGUCGCCGAAUUGGAUGAACACUCGUGGCUUGUGUACUGCCAGCACGUUCCAUACCUGAGGUUCCGGGGCUUGGCCUGCUUCAUCGAGGAAGAUGGCGUCGAAAUUAGCGUUCAAUUUGAUCCAUUACGUUCCGGCAUUUGAGAGGGUGGUAACGACGACAUCUUCGUGCCGAACGAUGUCGUAUUGUAGCUCACGGAUCCUCUUCGUGAAAGCUUCACGAUCCACUUUGGUCGCAUAAUUUUCUCCAUUCGCGAUGAGUGAGAAGUCAUUCAGAAUGUCAGUAUACUUUUCAGGGUGACUAAAACCUUGGAAUUCUUUAGGUUCGCCCGCAAUAAGACCCAACCGACGCAACAUCCAUGCACCAACACUGAUAUCCUUGGCAUGAAAGCGUGGAUCUUUAAUUCCUUCCAACCCCAGUUUUGGUCGCUCUUGAGUGGGUAUCAAGUAACACCUUCGACAUGCUAAUGAGAUCUAGCAUGUCAAUGUCUUUAGCACUUUGACCAUCAAGUAUAUUCUGGGAAAUAAUUGGGGGUCUGGAAUUUGGGCUUCUGCGCUUGUCUGUCGGCUGUUGCCAAAGUCGAGCAACAGCUUCUUCUGUCUCGCGGGAGUGCGCUCUGACCACCAUUGGAAGACGUUGUAAAUGACCAAUUUUGUCCUUAUUGUGCUCCCAAAGUUUAAGUGCAAUGUCAGUUGCUGGUUCAUUUGCACUUGUUACGAUUAAGAUUUGUCGAUUUGGGGUUUCGUCGGUGUCCUGAGAAAUCAUGCGCUGGUUGGCGAGGAUAGGAUAAGUUCAAACGUCUUUCCUGUCCCUGGUUGGCCCGAAGAGCAUUCCCCGACCACCCGGGAGACCAAAACGCUGUCGCACAAACAACAUCUGCUGUUUGUCAAACUCGAAAGCCUUCUCCAUCAUUGACCAGAUUUUUUUAUGUGGGAAAUGCUCAUGAUCCUUAAACAAGUUGACUUGCGGAAGACUUUGAAAGUCAUUUGCCAAGAGGAUUUGUUUUACAUGUUGAGAGCAGUUUCCUUGUCUUAUUUCAUCUAGGCUGACAAUUUCCUGUCGAUAUGUUUUCUGGGAUGAGACCAAGGAGAUAGUGACGUAUUUUUGUCUGGCGCUUUCAAUUAUUUCAUGGAUUUUGUCACUCCUCUGUUGAGAUAAGUCAAUUGCAGGUAUUUCCAUAUAUCUUCAUCAAGCCAUCUUGCAUUUUUUUAUCCCAAGGUCGCGUCACGAGAAAAACUAGGAACUUCGGGUGAAUGAAGGGAGGCUGUUCUAGGACACGCCCACUCCAACCUAUUUCUGGAUUGUUGGGGACGCAUUCAUCAAUAUCGGCACGCAUAUCUAUUUUAACCCGAUCAUCCUCGUUCAACUCCAUACCGAUCUGUUCUCUUGUGUCCAUUAGAGCGAAGUAUCGACGAUUGCCAGCAUAGGGAAUAGUCACAAAUCGCAACUCACAACCCCUGAGCUGAUGGCAACUGUCACGAACAACCUUGUUCUCGUGUUCCUGCUGAGCGGCCAUUCCAAAAGCAAUCGUGUACUCCUCCCACGACGCAUAGCUCAGGUUGGUGCCGGGUGUGAUCUUUGGCCUUUCUCUUCUUGGCAUUGUCUGGUUCUUGCCUGCCUGAAUAAAAAUAGGCGUUCCUGCUUUGCGGUUUUUGGGCAUGUAUGCUUGGCAGGGAGGUGAUUCCGCUUGGUCAACAAGCAAUUUUCCAAGACGCUCAAGACUAAUCAUUAUCUCGCUCCCACAGACAUAGAACACGAGGGUUUCAGAUGAAGCCAGUUGGGAGGCAAGCCUGCGAACCCUUUUUUCCUGACUUCCAUGCUUUAUAAUGCGAUCAUCUGCCA